rnacentral:rRNA from 1 species
CACGUAGGGCGCAAGCGUUGUCCGGAAUCAUUGGGCGUAAAGAGCUCGUAGGUGGUCUGUUGCGUCCGCUGUGAAAACUCGGGGCUUAACCCCGAGCUUGCAGUGGAUACGGGCAGACUAGAGGUAGGUAGGGGAGAAUGGAAUUCCCGGUGUAGCGGUGAAAUGCGUAGAUAUCUGCAGGAACACCCGUGGCGAAAGCGGCGCGCUGGACCACUACUGACGCUGAGGAACGAAAGCUAGGGGAGCAAACAG